AACGAACGCUGGCGGCAUGCCUAACACAUGCAAGUCGAACGCGUGUAGCAAUACACGAGUGGCGGACGGGUGAGUAACGCGUGGGAACCUGCCCAGUGGUAGGGAAUAACUGCGGGAAACUGCAGCUAAUACCCUAUACGCCCUUUGGGGAAAGAUUCAUCGCCAUUGGAGGGGCCCGCGUCGGAUUAGCUAGUUGGCGGGGUAAUGGCCCACCAAGGCAACGAUCCGUAGCUGGCUGAGAGGAUGAUCAGCCACACUGGGACUGAGAUAC
rnacentral:rRNA from 1 species